rnacentral:rRNA from 1 species
UACGUAGGGCGCAAGCGUUAUCCGGAAUUAUUGGGCGUAAAGAGCUCGUAGGCGGUUUGUCGCGUCUGCCGUGAAAGUCCGGGGCUCAACUCCGGAUCUGCGGUGGGUACGGGCAGACUAGAGUGAUGUAGGGGAGACUGGAAUUCCUGGUGUAGCGGUGAAAUGCGCAGAUAUCAGGAGGAACACCGAUGGCGAAGGCAGGUCUCUGGGCAUUAACUGACGCUGAGGAGCGGAAAGCAUGGGGAGCGAACAGG